GGCUGGUCCGAUGGCAGUGGGUUAUCAGAACUUAUUAACAUUAGUGUCACUAAAGUUGGUAUAUCACCCCCACACACACUGCUAAAUUUGACUGACUUAAA
ensembl:misc_RNA Y_RNA Y RNA